rnacentral:lncRNA from 1 species
AGUGUCCCAAGAUCACCCAGGAGGAACCCCGUGAUCUUCAGGCUCAGAGCUAGAGACCCUCAGUGUAGGAGGGCCGGGUACCAGCCCUGCCCUGGGCAGUUCUCACAUCUCUGUCUUCCCCUCACUGCCUCCGCAGGAUCUGUGUGAGGUAGGGCAUCCUCUCUCUGCCAUUCCCCUGUAUUGUAGCUCAUCCCCCUGCAGCAUUCUCUCCCUGUUCAAUGUCCCUGGCUUUUCCAGGGAAGAUGGCUUAGUAUGGCCAGCAAGCAUGUAGGCAUGACAUAGGUCAGAGCGUGAACCCUGUCUUUUCUGCUUAUGGGCUGUGUGACCCUCUCCGAGCCCCUUUCCUCUGUAAAGGGUGGGUAAUCACGGCACUCUUUAAGGUAUGGUUAUGCUAGUGUCUUGGGGUUGGGUGCAGAGCUCUAAGCCUGACUAGAGGGAGUAUCCAUCGUGGUCCCAGGGGCCUGAUUUUGGACUCUGUCCCCAGCCUCAUUGUUCUCAUCGCCCUCAAUGCCCUCCUCUUCUACCGUCUCUGGUCUCUGGAGAGAACAGCCCAUACCUUUGAGUCCUGGCACAGCCUGGCACUGGCCAAGGGCAAGUUCCCCCAGACAGCCACGGAGUGGGCCGAGAUCUUGGCUCUGCAGAAGCAUUUCCACAGCGUUGAGGUGCACAAGUGGAGGCAGAUCCUUCGCGCAUCCGUGGAGCUCCUGGAUGAGGU